GAUGAAGAACGUAGCGAAAUGCGAUAAGUAGUGUGAAUUGCAGAAUUCAGUGAAUCAUCGAAUCUUUGAACGCACAUUGCGCCCCUUGGUAUCCCGAGGGGCAUGCCUGUUCGAGCGUCAUUUCACCACUCAAGCCUGGCUUGGUGUUGGGCGACGUCCCCUUUGGGGACGCGCCUCGAAACGCUCGGCGGCGUGGCACCGGCUUUAAGCGUAGCAGAAUCUUUCGCUUUGGAAGUCGGGGCCCCGUCUGCCGGAAGACCUACUCGCAAGGUUGACCUCGGAUCAGGCGGGGAUACCCGCUGAACUUAAGCAUAUCAAUAAGCGGAGGA
rnacentral:misc_RNA from 1 species